GAAGAGCAGUGAAAUAGGAGACGUGUCAACGGGAGCGAGCAGAGAGAUGUGGGCGCGAGCGUGCAUGAUACACAGCCUGAAAGAUUGAAGAAGUUUAACUUAGACAUGCCCAAGUCUGAAUGCAGUAAUUUUAGUAUCCUGGAGUGCUGGACAUGUAUUAUUGGGCUCAGUGUGUUCUGUUUCUGUCUUUCCUGUGCUGGAGAACUCUGCAGUAAACACACAAAAACGCAUUUGCAUUGGCAGUCACCUACACUGACUGUACACACACAGUUUUACAAUUAACAGUAAACAAAGAUUCUGUACCUUCCAUUGAGGAGUACUGGCAGGAUUCAGACAGUACUGGAUAGGAUGAAGAGUGUAUCUGAAGGUUCUUGUAGCUCCCAAUCGUGUAUGCUUUAUGUAUCCCCUGCAGUCCUUCCUGGUAAAGAUUUUCAGUAUUGCUCAAGUUCGUAGGGUUUUGAAGCUCCCCACACUGCCCUCCUCCAACUGUGUGCAACCUGACUGCCUGCAUCUGACAGUCUCCAGGCCCAAUCCGUACAUCUCCUUGCUGUGCGGCUAAUACAACCCCUGCGGCAGCUGUGCGUGCCAGCGACCAGAUCCGGGGCUUUUCCGAUGUCUCAAAAUGAGAGAGUGCCACAGUGCUUAUGGAACUGGACUGAGGUGAGGACUGCUGUGGUUUGGAGCCGAGCGGAUCCAGAUAGUCCGAGUUCAGAGGUCCCAAAUUCUUCAGGCCACAGGGAAAGGAUGAGAAGUUCAGCUCAGGGUUACAGUCUCUCUUUGGUGGGGAGGAAGUUGCAAGGUCAUCCUGACCCGAUUUCUCACAGUCACUGUCCAGCUUGUCACAUUCCUCGUCCUCAAUGUCAUCCAGGUCGCUGAACUGCAGGUCUUGCUCAUCCUUACUCUCUUUGGAGUCUAUGCAAGAGCAGUGAAAGUGGCAAAAAAUCCCUGUGCGCUAUCAUUUGGGAGCUAUCGGAAAUGUCAAAGGUGUCCUUUUGAUGUCAGGUGUGGGCCUCAUGCAAUGCAGCACCUGUGUGGGUCGCUGUAUACAUGUGAGUGGUGAGUCUGUUCCAAAAAGUCACUCUGUCCCUGUCGUGUUCUUGACUUCAUCAUCUGCUUUUUUCUCUCAUUUAAUAAUUGGUGUGAUUGUGAUCCAUUGAUAUUGAAUAUUUAAGUUGUAGAUCCCCUUGAAAUAUAUAUUUUUCCUGAAUAUUCAUGUGUUGCAAAUCAAAUAUCUAAACUGAUAUCCGCUCCAUCUGCUGGUCAAGUAGAUAAACACACUGUAAAUUAAACUGCUACAAUAUCAUACAAUAUUUUAGUCCUAUGAUAACUGUGUGUUAGGUUUGUUUUCAUAUGAGCUUUCCUGCCAUUUAUAAAUGGUAAUAUGAAUGUGUAAAAAUGUACAGAUUGUUUAUCAUACAGCUAUAGACUUGGACAAAAGUUCUUGGAGUAAAUGAAUAGUGAUAUAUUUACUCACAACAGUAGGGAGCAAAUAAUAGUUUGUUCCUUUUAUAUUUUUUAGGAAUUUUUAUUUAUUUGCUCUGAAACCACAGUACAAACGAGGAAAAUGCAAAUUGGAAAUACAAAAUAAAACAUACAAAUACAAAUUAUCUUUUAAUCAUAUCAUUGUUUUACUGGUCUAUAAACCACUCCAGCAAACAGGUGAAAAUACCUAAAGGAAUUGUGUUAAAGCUCUUAAUGAAAACAACCAGAAGCAAAACAAACACUGUUUUUAAUUCUCUUGCUCUUCACUUUGUUUUUUAAGGGUUACCACAAGUACUCUUAGGAGAGAGA